rnacentral:rRNA from 1 species
GACGAACGCUGGCGGCGUGCUUAACACAUGCAAGUCGAACGGUGACGAGGAGCUUGCUCCUCUGAUCAGUGGCGAACGGGUGAGUAACACGUGAGCAACCUGCCCCAGACUCUGGGAUAACAGUUGGAAACAGCUGCUAAUACCGGAUACGAGACGGAGAGGCAUCUCUACCGUCUGGAAAGUUUUUCGGUCUGGGAUGGACUCGCGGCCUAUCAGCUAGUUGGUGAGGUAAUGGCUCACCAAGGCGACGACGGGUAGCCGGCCUGAGAGGGCGACCGGCCACACUGGGACUGAGACACGGCCCAGACUCCUACGGGAGGCAGCAGUGGGGAAUAUUGCACAAUGGGCGAAAGCCUGAUGCAGCGACGCCGCGUGAGGGAUGACGGCCUCGGUUGGUAAACCUCUUCUAGCAGGAAGAAGCGAAGAGACGGUACCUGCAGAAGAAGCACCGGCUAACUAACGUGCCAGCAGCCGCGGUAAACGUACGAACG